rnacentral:lncRNA from 1 species
CAUCAAUGCCAUGCUUCAUUUUUUUGAGGUGUUUUUGAAGUUGCAGGCUUUCUUGUUCACUGGUAAUAACACACAGAUAGAAAGAGCUAAACAAGUGCAAAAUUGUGAGACAGCAGUGUUGCAGGAACCCAGCAGCUUAUUCUAUACUUCUGUCUCCUGUUCUGCCCCUCACCUCUGCGAAAUAAGAUUAAAAAAAACCCAAACCACCAUAAACAGAGCACCUCUCUUCCCCUUAUUUAUCCACUUCUGUAACACCCUCAGUUCAAAAGAAGAAGAGACCCCAUUGAUGUAGUUUUGGGAAAGCUAUCCUAAAGCCGUGCACUUUCUCCUACUGGGCACAGCUCAGCAGGGGAGGUUGUUCUCAGUUUCCAGCAGCAGUGAUGUGGAUGGGAGGAGACUGAUUAUAGCCAGGGAUGAGAAGCAUGCAUUUACAUAGUCUCCUUUUCUCUGCCACCUCUCCACUCUCCAGCAAGCGUGGGUUUAUUUUAGCAUUGGCCUUCUGAAGCAGGAUUAAUUUUCCCCUGAAUAGGUCAGGCUGGAGCAGAGCCAGGAAACAUGGCCUUUCAUAGCUGGGGUGACUCAGGAAGGCAGAGAUACCUACUAAGUAGACAGGGCCUAUAACUUCUGGGCCAAUGCCCAGUGCAAGAGAAGUAUCCUAGAAUAACCUUUCUGAUAAACAGCAGAAAAGUCCGUAUGGAGUCUUUUUCCAGAAGCCGAUUCCAGGCUGAACCAGGCUGUAGUGCUGCCCUCUGCUGUUUGGAUUCGGAAAAAAAGUUUGGUGUGGAGAUUACUGAUGAAGAGUUUGAGCUGCUACUUGACAGAAUCCCCCUUGAUGAAGAUGGAAAUGUCAAAUACCCCCAGUUCAUGCUCAGGUUUGAUUCCUGGUAUACAGCAUAUGCAUUUUAUUCCUCAUUUGUGAGCAGGAUUAUUUUUAAUCUAAAAGGCUCACGUAGCAUUUCCAGACUGAAUCUCAUUUCUUAACUGUGCUCCUUUAUGACAUUUCUUGCAAAGAGUGUGCUGAUUAUAUUUAAAAUUAGCUGGUGUUGUGGGUGUAUACUGUUUGUAAUUUAAUUUCUCUUUACAUGCUAUUUACAUUAUUUAGAAGAAAG